GCCUGGGUAGCUUAGUUGGUUAAGUAUCUGACUUCAGCUCAGGUCAUGAUCCCAGGUC
rnacentral:tRNA from 1 species